UUUCCGUAGGUGAACCUGCGGAAGGAUCAUUAAAAAAUUGGACUCCAUUGGUGAGUUCAUUAAUAAUCCCUACCCUUUGUGAAUUUGUUUGUUUGAAUAAUUUUUUUUCCAAAAAAAAUUAUUGAAUGUCUUUCCUUGUUUUGGUGGAGCUUGUAAAGUGAAACCAGGCAGGGGAAUGGCAAACAAUAAUUAUUUUUGAAAAAGACCUUUUUUUAAAAUUAAACUUUUUGUAUUCAUUUGUCUAAAAUUAAUUUUAUAAUAUAAAAACAACUUUUGACAAUGGAUCUCUUGGUUCUCGCAACGAUGAAGAACGCAGCAAAAUGCGAUAAGUAGUGUGAAUUGCAGAAUACGUGAAUCAUCGAAUCUUCGAACGCAUAUUGCACUUUUUUAGUUUACUAAAAAAGUAUGUCUGUUUGAGUAUCAGUAAAAUAUUCUCAUAAAAAACAUUGUUUUUUUUAUGGUUAUGAGUGUUUUACAACGAUAACAAGUUGUUUCACUUUAAAUUCUUUGUUAUCAAAAAAAUCAUUAAAAGCCAAUUUUAAAGAUUUUUUAAAAUUGGAUAAAAUUUUCCCGUAAAAAGGAAUAACCUAAACAAUUUUAAAAAAUUAAAAUUGGUUUGAUUUUUUUUGAAACCCAAAGGAAAAAAAAACGAAAUUAACUUGAUCUCAAAUCAGAUAAGAGUACCCGCUGAACUUAAGCAUAUCAAUAAGCGGAGGAAAAGAAACUAACUAGGAUUCCCUCAGUAACGGCGAGUGAAGCGGGAAGAGCUCAAAUUUGAAAUCUUCAAGGUUUUACCUUGACGAAUUGUAGUUUAAAGAAGUGUUUUCUGUUGGAGUUUUGGUAAAAGUUCUUUGGAAAAGGACAUCAUAGAGGGUGAGAAUCCCGUAUUUGACCAUUAUCUCCAGCUUUGUGAUACACUUUCAAAGAGUCGGAUUGUUUGGGAAUGCAGUCCAAAAUGGGUGGUAAAUUUCAUCUAAAGCUAAAUACUGGCGAGAGACCGAUAGCGAACAAGUACCGUGAGGGAAAGAUGAAAAGAACUUUGAAAAGAGAGUUAAACAGUACGUGAAAUUGUCAAAAGGGAAGCGUUUGACACCAGUGUUGUUUUCUCGAAAAUCAAUUAAAAAAGGCCGGAUUUUGUGUUGUAUUGACUUUAUCAGCUUUCUGCACUCUUUUCUUGUCUUUUUUAAUGCACUUUUCGUUUAACAAGUCAACAUCAAUUUCUUUUGUUGUAAAAGGGUCAUUGGAAGGUGGCUUUCUUUUCGGAGAAAGUGUUUAUAGCCUUUGGCCUCUGCAAUCGGAGAGAUUGAGGUCUGCAGCGUAGAUCCUUCGGGUUAGAUACAUUUGUGCUAAGUUAUAGCCUUUCAUAGACAACUUGUUGACUAUGAUCAGCCAUGUAGCUUACUCGCUUAUGCUAUUU
rnacentral:misc_RNA from 1 species